AACCCUAGAAAAUAGCUUUCCAAUUAAUUACGUCAUAAAGGAAAACGCCGCUCCAGGGACCUGUUCAUCUACCUCAGCUAGCAAACUCCCACCGUCCACCGUCCACCGUCGACAGUCCACCAGUCCACCAGUCCACAGUCCACAGUCCACAAACACGGUGAGACGCGACACAAUUAGCAGAAAUUUCUUCGUUUUGUGUUUGAGACUAUUCCAAUUCAGCAAUGGAUCCAAAUCGCGCGGACGCAUUUGGUCUGAUUACAACAGGUGAUUGUGAUCGUUGUGGAGAUAUGAUCUCAGUGUAAAAAUGUGUCACUAAUUUUGAAGGCAAUGAGGUCUCAGAAGCAUCUAAAAUGAGCAAUUUAACUGGUGGAAAAUCUGAAACCAGUCUUCCAAAUCAAUUGGAAGUUAUUUUUUGUCAAGAUUUAAAUGGAAGUUUGGAUGGGGUUGGCUCAGCAGAUGUUUGUGAUUAUACUUGUCAUAAUGAUGGACGAUUUUGGAGGUGUUACAACUUUGUACAAGAGACUAAGAUGGGAUCUCUGGUUUGAAAGCUGAUCAAUAUGCUACAGCACUGAGGGAGCUGCUAUUCGUUCAUUUUGUAUAUUUCACUGAUUUUGAAGGUGAUUGUGAUCGUUGUGGAGAUAUGAUCUCAGUGUAAAAAUGUGUCACUAAUUUUGAAGGCAAUGAGGUCUCAGAAGCAUCUAAAAUGAGCAAUUUAACUGGUGGAAAAUCUGAAACCAGUCUUCCAAAUCAAUUGGAAGUUAUUUUUUGUCAAGAUUUAAAUGGAAGUUUGGAUGGGGUUGGCUCAGCAGAUGUUUGUGAUUAUACUUGUCAUAAUGAUGGACGAUUUUGGAGGUGUUACAACUUUGUACAAGAGACUAAGAUGGGAUCUCUGAUUUGAAAGCUGAUCAAUAUGCUACAGCACUGAGGGAGCUGCUAUUUGUUCAUUUUGUAUAUUUCACUGAUUUUGAAGGUGUGCAUCUGAUUAUACCUUGCUGUUACUUUGUUAUGAACUUCAGAAAAGUGCCAAGUGCGAAAGUGUAAGAACUCGGAGGAUAUGUACAAUGCUUAGUAUAAUUUUAAGGAUGAUGAUGAUGACAGUGACCGAGAACCAUCAGAAAGGCAAAUAGAAGUUCUGCAGUGGUUGUGUCAAUUGUACCAUGAUCAAUGUCGAGGAUGUUGGCAAUUGUGAAGUAUGCGGAGAACACAGUGAAUCUAGGAUACUCAGGCAUGGAUUUUUUUGCAUCUCCAUAUCUGCCUGUCAACCAAGAUGAGUUGCUGUAACUGGAAAUCUGGAGCUAUAGAUGUCUACGGGGAAGCUUAUUGGCAGCAAAAGACAAUAUAAUUUGGAGAUUACUUGUGCAGACUCCCGUUGUUGUUGUGUGAUGCCGCCUGAGAGCAAAAAACAUGGUUGUCAAAGUGUACCUACCGAUGUGUUUGUUAUUAUAAAAACUGUGAGAACAAGCAUCUUAUCGGGAAAUGGAGGUAUAAAUGGUGCAGAUUUCCACCACUGCGCUUUGAUUAUGCAGUUUGGGCGUCUACAAACCACGUACUCUCCCCUUCUAAUUAGUUUACAAACAUCAUGCACCUCAUUUUGACUAUUCAUUCAGGAUCACUUGCGAAGUUUAUACCCUCUAUUUCUAGAUUGAAAAGUAUCCUGAGAUUGACAGCUUAAUUUAUUUCCUCUGAAGAAAAGCAUCUUGUUCUUUGAAUUCUCUAAGUGGAACCGAUAUAAAUUGGUGUCUUCAUUCUUGAGAACUGA